UGAGGUGUGGCUCAGUGGUAGAGUGCUUGCCUAGCAUAUAUGAGGUCCUGAAUUCAAUCUUCAGUACUGCAA
rnacentral:tRNA from 1 species